rnacentral:rRNA from 1 species
GACGAACGCUGGCGGCGUGCUUAACACAUGCAAGUCGAACGGAAAGGCCCUGCUUUUGUGGGGUGCUCGAGUGGCGAACGGGUGAGUAACACGUGAGUAACCUGCCCUUGACUUUGGGAUAACUUCAGGAAACUGGGGUUAAUACCGGAUAGGAGCUCCUGCUGCAUGGUGGGGGUUGGAAAGUUUCGGCGGUUGGGGAUGGACUCGCGGCUUAUCAGCUUGUUGGGGGGGUAGUGGCUUACCAAGGCUUUGACGGGUAGCCGGCCUGAGAGGGUGACCGGCCACAUUGGGACUGAGAUACGGCCCAGACUCCUACGGGCGGCAGCAGUGGGGAGUAUUGCACAAUGAGCGGAAGCCUGAUGCAGCAACGCCGCGUGCGGGAUGACGGCCUUCGGGUUGUAAACCGCUUUCGCCUGUGACGAAGCGUGAGUGACGGUAAUGGGUAAAGAAGCACCGGCUAACUACGUG